CUGCUACAUCAGAAUCACUCCUCACAAUGGGAAAAUAUUAAAAAUCCCUUGGAAUGUGAAUCCCUUGGAGGUGGGGAUGACAGCCUCAAAUGGCAUGGCUGAUUCACAAAUUAUGGUCACUAAUUGGCUGAGAUAGUAAAGGACAUUUGAAGACUGAGAAGAACUUGGUGAGACUGAGUGCCAUAUGUAGGAAGAACUGAAAGAAGACCUUGGACUAUGGGGCAACAGAGAAAGGAGAGGGAGGAACUUGGAGCUCUGAAGGAACCGUUAUCCAAUCAUUGCAGUUGCCAUAGCUCAGCUCACAUCCUACAUAAAUCCCCUGACAGCAGCAAAAACUCAGUGCAAAGAGCCGGCUUAUUUUGAACAACGCUCAGAACCAGACGGAGAAAGGAGGAGACAGAAAUCAUCAUUUAUCAUUCGGGACAAAAGGCACAGUCAGUGGGAAAAUCUGAUUUUCAAUCAUUUAAAGGGUAUUAAA
ensembl:lncRNA novel transcript